rnacentral:rRNA from 1 species
UACGUAGGGUGCAAGCGUUGUCCGGAAUUAUUGGGCGUAAAGAGCUCGUAGGCGGUUUGUCGCGUCGGCUGUGAAAACUCGGGGCUCAACCCCGGAGCCUGCAGUCGAUACGGGCAAACUAGAGUGCUGUAGGGGAGACUGGAAUUCCUGGUGUAGCGGUGAAAUGCGCAGAUAUCAGGAGGAACACCGGUGGCGAAGGCGGGUCUCUGGGCAGUAACUGACGCUGAGGAGCGAAAGCGUGGGGAGCGACAGG